rnacentral:rRNA from 1 species
CCUACGGGAGGCAGCAGUGGGGGAUAUUGCACAAUGGGCGGAACCCUGAUGCAGCGACGCCGCGUGGGUGAAGAAGCGCCUCGGCGCGUAAAGCCCUGUCAGCAGGGAAGAAAAUGACGGUACCUGAAGAAUAAGCCCCGGCUAACUACGUGCCAGCAGCCGCGGUAAUACGUAGGGGGCAAGCGGUAUCCGGAUAUACUGGGUGUAAAGGGGGCGCAGACUGUUAUGCAAGCCAGGGGUGAAAGCCCGGGGCCCAACCCCGGGACUGCUCUUGGAACUGCGUGGCUGGAGUGCAGGAGGGGAAGGCGGAAUUCCUGGUGAAGCGGUGAAAGGCGUAGAUAUCAGGAAGAACACCGGUGGCGAAGGCGGCCUACUGGACGGUGACUGACGCUGAGGCUCGAAAGCGUGGGGAGCAAACAGGAUUAGAUACCCCUGUAGUC